rnacentral:lncRNA from 1 species
UUUUUCCACCGGGAGUUGGUACCUCCCGCUCUCUUGUUUACUUUGUGCACCUUUUUACGUAUUUUAGCUAGCAUUUCGAGUGUGGUCUAUUCUGUUGUGAUCUAGUUUGCUACAUUUGCGUUUUUCGCUAUAGCGCGUGUGUGUGCCACUGUACCCCUUAUCGGUUGGUGGGAUAGUGGCCGCGGCGGGGGAUGAUAGCGUAAGGCCAUGUCCUCAGGGGGUGGGGGUGGUCGCGGGGGUAAGUAGGGGAGCAGGGGUUGGUCCUACGGGCAGGGCGGGAGGUAAGGGUGGGAAGAGGGCAGCGGACGCCCAUAGACUAAGGAUUGGGUCAUGGAACAUAGGCACUCUGACGGGUAAGUCCAUUGAGUUGGCG